UGGUUGUUGUUUGUUUGUUUUUGGUUUUUUUUUUUUUUUUUUUUUCGAGACAGGGUUUCUCUGUAUAGCCCUGGCUGUCCUGGAAGUCACUUUGUAGACCAGGCUGGCCUCGAACUCAGAAAUCCGCCUGCCUUUGCCUCCCUUACCGACUGAGCCAUAUACCCAUCCCCUCAUUUUUAUUCUCAAAACAAGUAGAUUCAUAUUUCAUCUCUUCCAAACCCAUUCUUUAGAGGAAUUUUAAUCCAGCAACGUGGCUGCUCUGGCAAGAGAUCACAUCCAAGAUCCUAGGUCUGUGUGAUCCUGCUGGAAUGCAGACGCACCACACACCUUUAAUCCCUCUGACUGGAAUGCAGACACACCUUUAAUCCCAAGCAGUAACAUCUAAUUGAGGGAUAGACCAAGUGAUGAAUCAGAGAAAGAUCUGACAGAAUGAGUCAGGGAGAGGAUCCACCAACUCUCACAAGAACAGACAGGAAAGAGAGGCUACUUUAAGAGCAGAGGGAGAGAGAGAAGUUUGGUUUGGUUCGGUUCAGUUCAGUUUGGACUAGUUCAGUUCAUGAGGCAGUCUUUCUGAGCAGAACAAUUCAGUGAGAAGCUGAGAGAAGCUGGUUUUAGUCAGUCAGCUUGGAGAGGCGUUUAAGCAGAACAGCUGAAUGGAGCCAGCCAGCCAGAGUUCAGAAGGAGGCAGAAAGGGUGAGCUUAUUCAGCUGUCAGCCUCAGAGGCAGAAGCUAGGCUAGGUCAGCAGACCUGGAAGAGCCUGAAAGCUGAAGUCUACAAGGCCUAGAAGCUUCCAGCCCUAGGGGUGGUGAGUACAGAGAAGGGAACGCUCUGGGCUCAGCCCGAGCCAUGCACUCGUAAAGCUGGGGAAUGGCUCUCUCACAUCUCAUUCCUUCCUCUGAGGAAAUAAAAGCAACGCUGACUUCUACACUAGUCUAUACAGGGCAAGGCUGAAGUGCAGUUUAAAGGUGUAAGUUAAAUUAGGAAGAAGCAUCCAUGAUAGCCUCAGAAAGAGGAUAUGAUCCAUGCUGUGAAAAUCACUUGUUUAUAUACAUCUUAUCUACAGAGCUUGAUGGUAUUUUAUAAAAUACCUGGGCUGCAACCCAACACGUGAGGUCAGGUAUACAAUUUUUCUUUCUGAUCUCUCUCUUCCCUUUUGGGGGAGGGUUGUUUGUUUGUUUUCGGAGAAUUUCCUGCAGCUGGCCUCAAACUUGCUAUGUAGUCUAGAAUAACCUUGAGUUUCUCAUCCUCCUGCCUCUCCCUCCGAAACGCUGGAAUUCCAUGCAGGAGCCACCGUGCUCUCUAGGCAUUGUGGGAUUUUCUUCCCAUUGCAUUAUGGUGCUCAAAAAACUUGCAGAUUCUGGAGCAUCCUGGACAUUGGAUUUGGGGAUUAGGAUAUCCAACUCUCAUAAUUUUACUUUUGCAGAACAAUGGAAAGCUCACUAUGUGGCUACACUUUUCUGUAAAUUGCAGCCGGUUGCAGGUCCAGCCGGCCUCCUCGGAGUGAGAACAGCAGCCCAGUUCAUUCUUCCUAGCAGUCUCCACAAACUCAUGUCCUGCUUCCUGUAGAAUCUCCGCCAUCAUUUCUCUGAUCUCUCACAGACUAGUGCCUCGUCUCCCUGCUGCCUGCUCACAAACCUUGGCCCUCUGGCCGACUCCCUUCUGGGGUGCAUUAACCCUGACACCAUACCCUGACAGCACCCCAAAUCCAGGAAGGACCCUUCCUAGGCACUAUCCCCAACGUCCUUUCAAAUCUGGGAGAAAACAGGCUCUCUGUAGCAUGCAGCACAGAAAUCCAUCUACCAGGACUGCGACUGCGCAGGAGCUCAGGGGCACUGGGGCCAUGGCCCUUCAGCACCACAGACGGGAGCCUCCACAGAGCUUCAAUCUGUGUUCCGAUGGAGAGCAAGGGAGCCACACUUGACAUUCUGUGGUGUGGCAGGAUGAAGGGUAUACUUCAGCUUCUCUGUGGAAGGAACUACCUCUUCAGGAUCUGCACGAUUCCCACCCUCAGUUACUCAUAAUAAUAAUAAUAAUAAUAAUAAUAAUAAUAAUAAUAAAAGGAUUUAAAAAGGAAUCAGGAGUCUCUCUGUGUCUUCUUGUUCUGAACAGAUAAUCUUCAACCAUGAAACUCAGGCUACCAGGGACUAAGGCAGGAGGGCUGAGAUGGCAGCCUGGGGCCAGUUUAAGGGCCAUUUAGAAGUCAGAGUACACAGGACAAGGCUCCUCCUGGGCAGGGAGAAGUGACACAGGGAAGUGGGACCCUAGUUGCCAAUGUGGGCAAACAUGCAGAAGGCAGGGCACUGAGGGGGCACAGUCACACUGUGGGUUACCAGAACGGCUUCAGAGAAGAAAAUAUCCCAACAGAUAUUCAGCUCUGUAAACAGAGCUGAAGAGCAUCGGUUCUGGGUUGGCAAACUCCACAUAUGAAACUGCAUUCCUGCAAACACUCAUGCUACCAAUGAGGUGACUGCUGGGGUGAGGGGCUGUCGUCAGAGGUGACUGUAUUCAGGCGACACCCACCCUUCUGGUACUUAUUUUAUUUCCAAAUGAUCACGAUGUUCAGCUCCAUGAGUUUUGUCACACGUCAAGUCACGUGGCCACCACCUGGCUGGGUAGUGAUGGGUACAUAAGCCUCCCAUCACCCCCAAACACUUCCCCCGUCUGUUCACUCGGGUUGCACAGCACCCCUCUUGUGCCCCUGGCAACCACAGAUCUGUUCUCCGUCAUUCACAUUCUGUCUCCUCGAGAAUGUCACAAAAAUGGAAUGGUACACUGUGGGACAUUCCGGGACUCGGUCCACUCACCGAUGCAGCGCUUCCGGCACGCCUCCAAGCUGCUGUGUGUACCACUGCUCAGCCCCCUGCCUGCUGCUGUUAACUGGUAAGGCUGGCAGCUGCUGUGCUGUGAUACCCUCUGCUCCUUUGGCAUCUACAUUUCGUCUCUGGGACGACAACGACAAUGACAGCGACGACAUCAUCUAUCACAGCAACCCGAAGCACAGCGAUCUGAAUUCAUAGCAUGGGACAUGCAGGAAAUUCUGCUACCUAUCUAGACCUUCCUCAUGAGCUAGAGACCGGUGAGACCACACCAGGCUCCCACUGCCUUCCCAAGUAGACUAGGCUUACCCACACCCCCCACUCCAGCAGAACAGCAUGAAGCCAGAGCCUUCAAGAAUAUAUGGCAGGGAGCCAGGGAGCCGUCAUGUUCCGCAAAAGCUGAACUUAACAGCAGUUCCAACCCUGAGCUCAAGGGCACAAGAGCACAUUGUUCUCAUACCUUGAACUGUAUGAGAGUCUAUGCUGAAGAAGUAAACCUUUGUUCUUUCCUAAGGAGAAGGAGGAAGCUCUCUCACUUUCUCCUGGAUGUUAUUCUUCCAAAGGGAGGAAGGCGGAGGCUGAGGCAGAGAGGAGUCUCUGUUAACAGCCCACUUCUUGAUGACCCAGAGACACCCUGUGAUGACUACCAGCAUCCCCAAAGUGGAGGCACCUGAAAUACCCCCUCUGUCUCUUUGAACCCGAGGAGGGUCUGAGCGCAAAAGAACUUGUCUGGGACCGCUCACCCUGCCCUGGGACAGUGCAGAGACUCUCACCCUGCCCUGAGACAGUGCGAGAACAUGAAAUACACCUGUUACCAUGUGCGUUAGCUCCGUCAGCCCUGACCCCGACCCUCCAGGAACUGCCCACAGACACCCAGCCUCUCGCAGCCUGUGUGUAGACCCAUCGACAAAUCUCCAUCUGGAAUGCUCACACUCUCAGAGGCAGAACAUCUGAGGUUGAAUGGCCCCUGGGUUCAGUGUAUCUCUCCUGAAGGCCUCACAGCAAAUGGCGUCACAGUAGAGCAUGGAGAGAGGUCACAUGGUGAGACAGGAGCAGAAGCCAGGCCUGCUCUCUUAAUGUUCAUGCUUGUGAAAACUCACAAGAACAACACAGUCUCCUUCAAAGGCAAGGACAGCAACUGCAGUGACUUGCCAACUUCCCACGGAUUGCCCCUCCCCUCUGUCUUUUUAGGUUUCAAAUGCCUUCCAAUCGCGCCAUCCCAAGGACAUGAACCAGGGAGGGCAUGAACCCUUGAGGAUCGCAGCCAAUCACAGCAAGGCUGAAUGUGAGGACCCACGGAAUAGGCUCCAGGUCCAUUACUGACAACCUCCUGACCAGCGGAGUCUCACCAGGGGCUGAGACACCAGCUACCCUAACCCUGCCAGCGCUUGCUUCUAGGCUACAAGAAUUCCCUGAUUUAGAAACCUGUGCCGGCGAGGGCUGCAGAGGUGGCUCUGAGAUCAGGAGUCUUACAGGAGACCUGAGGUGGGCUGGCUCACAAAUGCCUGUGGGUCAAGUCUGAGAGGAUAAGAAAUCAUCUUUUGAUCUCUGUGGAUGGAUGGACACACACACACACACACACACACACACACACACACACACACUAGUUUUUGUUUUAAUCUAUGUUGUUUCCUACCCCCACCUUUUAAAAUCUUAGGUAGGAAGAAAAACAAGACAGUGUUUUGUUUUUGUUUUUGUUUUUGUUUUUGCAGUGAGACCUAAGAGAGGGCGUCAGGAAUCAUUCUGUUUAGUAAUUCUACCUGUGGGAUAAAGGCACAGCUCAGUGGAGACACUGUAAGUGGCUGUAAGCACUUACAAUAAGGGGUAAGUCUUUCUUCCCCAAACACAAAUAUACCAACCAUGUCCAACAGUCGCAUCAGGAUUAACCUCAGCCUCCGAGAGAAUGUUCUAUAUGCUGCCUCAGUUGUGGUCCGGCUGCUUUACAUCUCAGUCCUGGAAAUGUGACUUUGUCUGACCUCGGGCAGAGCUCCUAGCCCCUUGGCACCCAGAAUGACACCCAUAAAACAGAAACAAUGCCUCAGGUACCAGCAUGGCAGCGUGACUGCCCUAAUGUCAAAGAUGUGGGCAAGGGUGGAACAAUCCUAUUAUGUGCCUGAGAAAGCAGCCGUGAUUUAUUUUAAAGAAUCCUGGAGGAGGUUCCAAUUGCUUCCGUGUGGUGACCUGUGAAGAAGCCUCCACUGGCCUGGAGUGAAAAAGGACAGAAUUAAGAAGUCCUCUCCUGUCCAUGUGCACUUGCUGUCCGCUUACCUGCUGAGUAACCUUGCACGAUAGCCACUGUGCGCACUGUCACACAUGUCUGCAGGAUUAAAUGGGGUGGUGCACAUGAGGCAUUGAGCUCAAAGUCCCCCCCCCCCAAAAUUGUCUUGGUUCUAAUAAGCUUGCUGUGCAGAAGCAAGAGGAGAAUGAUGAAAUUGGCUGGGCGUGUAGCUCAGUGGUCAACGCUUGCAUGUGCCAGACCCCGAGUUCAAUCCCCAGCACAUCGAAUAAUAAUAAUCAUAAUAGAGUGAUAAUAAUACUUAUUAUUAUAUAAUACAUCGGUGUAAAAUAAAGAGGCAAAGAAAAUGCUAA